GACAGAGGGGGCAAGCGUUGCUCGGAAUCACUGGGCGUAAAGGGCGCGUAGGCGGGAUGGCAAGUCAGUCGUGAAAUCUCUCGGCUCAACCGAGAAACGUCGGCUGAUACUGCCGCUCUUGAGGGAUGCAGAGGAGACUGGAAUUCCCGGUGUAGCGGUGAAAUGUGUAGAGAUCGGGAGGAACACCGGUGGCGAAGGCGGGUCUCUGGGCAUCUCCUGACGCUGAGGCGCGAAAGCGUGGGGAGCAAACGGG
rnacentral:rRNA from 1 species